UGCCCUGCGCUGGAGGCCGAGUCCUUGAAUGUGGCUUCAGGGGCUCCUGUCCUGGGCCAGGGCCCAACGGGCACCACAUGAGGGGCACUUGGUGGACAGGGUGGGGCUGACGUGGCCUUCUCUGAGGUCACCUGCUUUUGUCCCAAAGGUCCUGACAGUGGCGUCCGGGGAAAGGCAAGGAAGGGCCGCUGUCGCCAAGGUUUUCUGUCCCAGGCCCACAGUGGGAAAGCGGGUUUGCUGGGCGUUGUCCAUCAUCAGUGUGCUCGUGGGCUGUGGCUGGCCCUGGGAUCCCAGGCCACGCGCCAGCCAGGCUGUGGGCAGGGAGGGGCCAGGGACGCCAAAGAGAGGUUGCCGUCAGAGCCAUGGACCGGGCGGGAGGAGGCCUCUGCCACCAUUCUUCCUGGUCAGCAGAAGUGCAGCUCGACGGGCUUAGGUUUGGGGUGGGGGUGCGGUCGCGUCCCUUGCUCGCCACUGUGCGCACCAAGGUCUCCCCCCGUCCUUCCCAGCACUGUUAGGAAGGCCUGGGCAGGGCCUGGAAGCUCCCGACCCGGGCUGCUCUCCUGUGUUGAAGGAGUGUGCCCAGUGCCCUUGGGCAGGACCUGGAAGAGCCCCCACCAGGCAGGGCAAGGGGCCUCCGCUCAAUCCCCGUGGCCAGUGUGGGCACAGGACUGACCCUUCCUCAGAGAUAAUGACAUUUUAUCUUUUCCUUUUGAUGAAAACUGUCACUUUAGCAUGUAAUCUAUUACAGAAUCCCGUGCAGUGAUUCUAGGAUUUGAAAUUAUAUGAUGUGUUACAUAAGAGUUUAUUUGCUGUCGACAUUCCCGUAUAAAGAAGAGACAUAUCACGCUGCUGCCAUGAUUUUGUGUCAAGAUGAUCCAAUAAAGUUGUGAAACAGGCA